UGGGGAAUAUUGGACAAUGGGCGGAAGCCUGAUCCAGCCAUGCCGCGUGUGUGAAGAAGGCCUUUUGGUUGUAAAGCACUUUAAGCGAGGAGGAGGCUACUUGGAUUAAUACUCUAGGAUAGUGGACGUUACUCGCAGAAUAAGCACCGGCUAACUCUGUGCCAGCAGCCGCGGUAAUACAGAGGGUGCGAGCGUUAAUCGGAUUUACUGGGCGUAAAGCGUGCGUAGGCGGCUUCUUAAGUCGGAUGUGAAAUCCCUGAGCUUAACUUAACAAUUGCAUUCGAUACUGGGAAGCUAGAGUAUGGGAGAGGAUGGUAGAAUUACAGGUGUAGCGGUGAAAUGCGUAGAGAGCUGGAGGAAUACCGAUGGCGAAGGCAGCCAUCUGGCCUAAUACUGACGCUGAGGUACGAAAGCAUGGGGAGCAAACAGG
rnacentral:rRNA from 1 species